rnacentral:rRNA from 1 species
GAUGGACCCGCGUCUGAUUAGCUAGUUGGCGGGGUAACGGCCCACCAAGGCGACGAUCAGUAGCCGGUCUGAGAGGAUGAACGGCCACAUUGGGACUGAGACACGGCCCAAACUCCUACGGGAGGCAGCAGUGGGGAAUCUUCCGCAAUGGGCGCAAGCCUGACGGAGCAACGCCGCGUGAGUGAAGAAGGUUUUCGGAUCGUAAAGCUCUGUUGAGAGGGACGAGAGAUAUAAUCAGGAAAUGGGUUAUAGAGGACGGUACCUUUCGAGGAAGCCACGGCUAACUACGUGCCAGCAGCCGCGGUAAUACGUAGGUGGCGAGCGUUGUCCGGAAUUAUUGGGCGUAAAGGGAGCGCAGGUGGGAAAGUAAGUCAGUCUUAAAAGUUCGGGGCUCAACCCCGUGAUGGGAUUGAAACUACUUUUCUUGAGUGCAGGAGAGGAAAGCGGAAUUCCUAGUGUAGCGGUGAAAUGCGUAGAUAUUAGGAGGGACACCAGUGGCGAAGGCGGCUUUCUGGACUGUAACUGACACUGAGGCUYGAAAGCGUGGGGAGCGUUCAGGAUUAGAUACCCUGGUAGUCCACGCCGUACGGACCCUCCUCGUGUAGGAGGUAUCGACCCCUUCUGACCGGAGUUAACGCAAKRAGCWUCCCGCC